rnacentral:rRNA from 1 species
UACGGGGGGUGCAAGCGUUAUUCGGAAUUAUUGGGCGUAAAGGGCGGGUGUGCGGUUGAAUAAGUCAGAUGUGAAAGCCCUUGGCUUAACCAAGGAAGUGCGUUUGAUACUAGUUGACCUGAGUAUGGGAGAGGGAAGUGGAAUUCCUGGUGGAGAGGUGAAAUUCGUAGAUAUCAGGAGGAACACCGGUGGCGAAAGCGACUUUCUGGACCAAUACUGACGCUGAGGUGCGAAGGCGUUGGGAGCAAACAGG